UACAGAGGGGGUGAGCGUUGGUCGGAAUUACUGGGCGUAAAGGGCGCGUAGGCGGCCGGCUAAGUCAGACGUGAAAUCCCCGGGCUCAACCCGGGAACUGCGUCUGAUACUGGUUGGCUGGAGUCCGGGAGAGGGAAGCGGAAUUCCAGGUGUAGCGGUGAAAUGCGUAGAUAUCUGGAGGAACACCGGUGGCGAAGGCGGCUUCCUGGACCGGUACUGACGCUGAGGCGCGAAAGCCAGGGGAGCAAACGGG
rnacentral:rRNA from 1 species